rnacentral:tRNA from 1 species
CCGACCUUAGCUCAGUUGGUAGAGCGGAGGACUGUAGUAGUUGCAGAUUAAUCCUUAGGUCGCUGGUUCGAAUCCGGCAGGUCGGA